rnacentral:rRNA from 1 species
CCCUUAGAUGUUCUGGGCAGCACGCGCGCUACAGUGGUCUUCGCAAACGGAUGCAUUCUCGAAGGAGAAUGCCAAUCUUGGAAUCUAUGCCUUGGUCGGGACAGUUGCUUGCAAUUUUUCGACUCGAACCAGGAAUUCCUUGUAAUCGUGAUUCAUCACAUCACGAUGAAUACGUCCCUGCCCUUUGUACACACCGUCCGUCGCUCCUACCGAUCGAAGAGUUAGGUGAAUUGUUUUGAUCGAUAAGAUUUGACUAUGGUCAACUCUCGUUGUGAAAUUCUGUGAAUCUGACUGUUUAGAGGAAGGAAAAGUCGUAACA